GUCCACGCCCUAACGAUGUCAACUGGUUGUUGGUCCUUAGCUGGAUCAGUAACGAAGCUAACGCGUGAAGUUGACCGCCUGGGAGUACGGCCGCAAGGUUGAAACUCAAAGGAAUUGACGGGACCCGCACAAGCGGUGGAUGAUGUGGUUUAAUUCGAUGCAACGCGAAACCUUACCCACCUUUGACAUGGCAGGAAGGCUUCAGAGAUGAGGCUGUGCUCGAAAGAGAACCUGCACACAGGUGCUGCAUGGCUGUCGU
rnacentral:rRNA from 1 species